GCAGCCGCCGCGGGAAUACGAAGGGUGCAAGCGUUACUCAGAAUUACUGGGCAUAAAGCGUGCGUAGGUGGUGGUUUAAGUCCGUUGUGAAAGCCCUGGGCUCAACCUGGGAAUUGCAGUGGAUACUGGGUCACUAGAGUGUGGUAGAGGAUAGUGGAAUUUCCGGUGUAGCAGUGAAAUGCGUAGAGAUCGGAAGGAACAUCUGUGGCGAAGGCGACUAUCUGGGCCAACACUGACACUGAGGCACGAAAGCGUGGGGAGCAAACAGGAUUAGAUACCCCGGUAGUCCCUGUCUCUUAUU
rnacentral:rRNA from 1 species